rnacentral:rRNA from 1 species
AGCCUGAACGCUGGCGGCGUGGCUAAGACAUGCAAGUCGUACGGGUGUAGCAAUACACCAGUGGCGAACGGGUGAGUAAAGUAUCGCUAACGUACCCCUAUGUCCGGGAUAGCUGGGGGAAACUCCAGGUAAUACCGGGUGACAUUCCCUCUUCGCAUGGAGAGGGGACUCAAAGGGGAAACCGCAAAGGGAGCGGGCGAUAUCGUAUCAGCUAGUUGGUGAGGUAACGGCUCACCAAGGCUAUGACGCGUAGCCGGACUGAGAGGUCGGACGGGCCACAUUGGGACUGAGACACUGCCCAGACUCCUACGGGGGCUGCAGUAACGAAUCUUCCGCAAUGCACGCAAGUGUGACGGAGCGACGCCGCGUGUGGGACGAAGUCCUUCGGGAUGUAAACCACUGUCAGGGGUUACCAAGUUCUGAGGAACCCCAGAGGAAGGCACGGCUAACUCUGUGCCAGCAGCCGC